ensembl:snoRNA
CUUGCCUCCCAAAGGCAUUGAAGGUAUGUUAGUAGGAGGUAGAGAAGAGAAAAACUAUGCAGAUGCUCAGCUCACUGAUGUCCUGACCUGCAAAUGUCUGAAUUAUUAGUAGCCUAACAUU